rnacentral:antisense_RNA from 1 species
UUUUUUUUUUUUUCUAAGAUAGAGUUUGCUCUUGUUGCGCAGGCUGGAGUGCAACGGCACAAUCUCGGCUCACUGCAACUUCCGCCUCCCAGGUUUAAGCGGUUCUCCUGCCUCAGCCUCCCGAGUAGCUGGGAUUACAGGCGCCUGCCACCAUGCCGGGCUAAUUUUGUAUUUUUAGUAGAGACAGGGUUUCUCCAUGUUGGUCAGAUUGGUCUUGAACUUCCAACCUCAGGUGAUCUACCCGCCUCAGCCUCCCAAAGUUCUGGGAUUACAAGCGUGAGCCACCGCACCUGGCCAUAGUUGUCUUUCUUAAUGUGGAUUUAAUCUGCAUUGUCCCUAAGAACUCAGAAUUACUGUUGAUGCUUCAAAGGUGUGUGUGUGUGUGUGUGUGUGUGUUCAGUUGAUUCAGAAAUUCCUCCCAGGAAAAUAGAAGACCCCAGGAGGAGUGAGGCAACACCUCUUUAUCUGCUACUGGCAGAGAGAUCUUCAUGAAAAUACACAUGAACCUCCAGAACUCGAUGUGCUCCACCAGCCAGCCUUCACCUAUCAAAGCCAACCCUGCAACUUACUGCUGAAGCCCCCAUGGAAUAGCUCAGCUAGCAGGAACUGUAGAGUAGGGGAUUCUUACUUCAGUGCAUCUUGAUGUUCUGAGUGAGGGAACAGCACAGACCCUCUGGGAGACCAUCUCCUGUGUGUUAGUGAGGUCUUACAUUGUAAAGGUUUUGAAGAAAGGAGACUGUGUCUGUGAGUCCUCAAUAAAGCAGACACCUGGUUGGAGUUAGGAGUCCAAAGGGCUUAUCUGAAGUGGCACCUCUCAGUACCAACAGGGGAUGAAGCCUGUCACCAAUGGUGGGAACUGUAGAAAGUGAUGUAAGUUCUUGGGAACUGAGGCUGUGGUCCAGGUCAUAAGAAAAAGUAAAUGAGUGCCAAAAAUGGCCGUGCCAUUAAGCCUGUUUUACACAUAGAAGAGACACGUGGAGAUCAUAUAGAGAAAGAGCCAGAAUUCAAACCCGAGCAGUCUUCAGAGCCCAUGCUGUCCACCUCUUCCCCUGCACAGGCCUUGGCAGUCUUUGUCUCUUUCUGCUCACAGGAUCGGCUUUGCCAUUGCCCGGCGUUUGGCCCAGGACGGGGCCCACGUGGUCGUCAGCAGCCGGAAGCAGCAGAAUGUGGACCAGGCGGUGGCCAGGCUGCAGGGGGAAGGGCUGAGCGUGACGGGCACCGUGUGCCAUGUGGGGAAGGCGGAGGACCGGGAGCGGCUGGUGGCUACGGUGAGCUUGCCAGCCCUCGUGUCCCUGCAGCCUCUGGCACAACCGUGCCACCUCUGUGCAGCCCCAUCGAUCAGUCCCCGCCGGGCU